GACGAACGCUGGCGGCGUGCUUAACACAUGCAAGUCGAACGGAAAGGCCCUGCUUUUGUGGGGUGCUCGAGUGGCGAACGGGUGAGUAACACGUGAGUAACCUGCCCUUGACUUUGGGAUAACUUCAGGAAACUGGGGCUAAUACCGGAUAGGAGCUCCUGCUGCAUGGUGGGGGUUGGAAAGUUUCGGCGGUUGGGGAUGGACUCGCGGCUUAUCAGCUUGUUGGUGGGGUUGGCUUACCAAGGCUUUGACGGGUAGCCGGCCUGAGAGGGUGACCGGCCACAUUGGGACUGAGAUACGGCCCAGACUCCUACGGGAGGCAGCAGUGGGGAAUAUUGCACAAUGGGCGGAAGCCUGAUGCAGCAACGCCGCGUGCGGGAUGACGGCCUUCGGGUUGUAAACCGCUUUCGCCUGUGACGAAGCGUGAGUGACGGUAAUGGGUAAAGAAGCACCGGCUAACUACGUG
rnacentral:rRNA from 1 species